rnacentral:lncRNA from 1 species
UGGGGACCAUGUGAAAUAAUUUAUUAUUUCACUUUCAUUGUUUAACUUUUUUUGGUUGGUAUCCAACAAAUUUGCUUAUCUCAUUACGUACCAUUUAUCCACUGUAACUAUAGAGACCAGGUAAGAAUGAGUUUAUCGUGAUAAUUAAAGAGUAAAUAAGGGAAAACGAAACUCUCGAUUUGAUAUGAUAAUAUAUGACGGAUUUAAUUA